rnacentral:snoRNA from 1 species
CUACGAUGGAGACAUGUUGUUCGAGGUCCAAACAGUUUGAGCGACGCAUUGAGAACGGAACAAUAAAAA